rnacentral:rRNA from 1 species
GAACCACUUCGGUGGGGAUUAGUGGCGAACGGGUGAGUAACACGUGGGCAAUCUGCCCUGCACUCUGGGACAAGCCCUGGAAACGGGGUCUAAUACCGGAUACUGACCAUCUUGGGCAUCUUUGAUGGUCGAAAGCUCCGGCGGUGCAGGAUGAGCCCGCGGCCUAUCAGCUAGUUGGUGAGGUAAUGGCUCACCAAGGCGACGACGGGUAGCCGGCCUGAGAGGGCGACCGGCCACACUGGGACUGAGACACGGCCCAGACUCCUACGGGAGGCAGCAGUGGGGAAUAUUGCACAAUGGGCGAAAGCCUGAUGCAGCGACGCCGCGUGAGGGAUGACGGCCUUCGGGUUGUAAACCUCUUUCAGCAGGGAAGAAGCGAAAGUGACGGUACCUGCAGAAGAAGCGCCGGCUAACUACGUGCCAGCAGCCGCGGUAAUACGUAGGGCGCAAGCGUUGUCCGGAAUUAUUGGGCGUAAAGAGCUCGUAGGCGGCUUGUCACGUCGGUUGUGAAAGCCCGGGGCUUAACCCCGGGUCUGCAGUCGAUACGGGCAGGCUAGAGUUCGGUAGGGGAGAUCGGAAUUCCUGGUGUAGCGGUGAAAUGCGCAGAUAUCAGGAGGAACACCGGUGGCGAAGGCGGAUCUCUGGGCCGAUACUGACGCUGAGGAGCGAAAGCGUGGGGAGCGAACAGGAUUAGAUACCCUGGUAGUCCACGCCGUAAACGGUGGGCACUAGGUGUGGGCAACAUUCCACGUUGUCCGUGCCGCAGCUAACGCAUUAAGUGCCCCGCCUGGGGAGUACGG